rnacentral:miRNA from 1 species
AAGCAAGACAGCCAGUUAAAGUUAAAUUUCAGAUAUGUAAUUUUUUUUUUAGUAUAUCUCAUAAAAUACUUGGGACAUACUUAUCCUAGAAACUUGUGUGUCAUGCAUCCAAAAUUCAAAUUUAACUGGGCAUCUUGUACU